GUGAGGAAUAUUGCGCAAUGGAGGCAACUCUGACGCAGCCAUGCCGCGUGCAGGAAGAAGGCGCUACGCGUUGUAAACUGCUUUUAACCGGGAAGAAACCCCAGGACGUGUCCUGGGUUGACGGUACCGGAGGAAUAAGCACCGGCUAAUUUCGUGCCAGCAGCCGCGGUAAUACGAAGGGUGCAAGCGUUAUCCGGAUUCAUUGGGUUUAAAGGGUGCGUAGGCGGAGCGUUAAGUCAGUGGUGAAAUCCUGCAGCUUAACUGUAGACUUGCCAUUGAUACUGGCGCUCUUGAGUGCGCUUGAAGUGGGCGGAAUGUGCCGUGUAGCGGUGAAAUGCUUAGAUAUGGCACAGAACACCAAUUGCGAAGGCAGCUCACUAAGGCGAUACUGACGCUGAGGCACGAAAGCGUGGGGAUCGAACAGGAUUAGAAACCCGAGUAGUCC
rnacentral:rRNA from 1 species